rnacentral:misc_RNA from 1 species
GAUGAAGAACGUAGCGAAAUGCGAUAAGUAAUGUGAAUUGCAGAAUUCAGUGAAUCAUCGAAUCUUUGAACGCACAUUGCGCCCGCCAGUAUUCUGGCGGGCAUGCCUGUUCGAGCGUCAUUACAACCCUCAGGCCCCCGGGCCUGGCGUUGGGGAUCGGCGAGGCGCCCCCCGCGGGCACGCGCCGUCCCCCAAAUACAGUGGCGGUCCCGCCGCAGCUUCCAUUGCGUAGUAGCUAACACCUCGCAACUGGAGAGCGGCGCGGCCAUGCCGUAAAACGCCCAACUUCUGAAUGUUGACCUCGAAUCAGGUAGGAAUACCCGCUGAACUUAAGCAUAUCAAUAAGCGGAGGA